rnacentral:rRNA from 1 species
AUGUUUUCAUGCAUGUCAGGUAUUGAACAUUAUCAAAAUGAAUAUGAGAAUGGGCACACGAGAGGAAUAUUGCGGAACAAUCCAUUGGCUAACAAACUUGGCAUGGUGGAGGAUGGCCUAUCUUAUUCACCCAUCAAGGUGCAUGCUCUAACUUGGCAAGAUCCUCAAGGAGUACAAACUAGGUAUUUGGAAAAGGUAGUGAUACCUGUUAAAUCAGAUAGAUCAACAGCCACAGAAAACACAGGCCCAACUGUAACAGACUUUACCCCUACUCCAGUGGCCAAACCCCUAUUAGGACUGCUGACAGCCCAGCGCCAGAUGAAUCUCCUUGCUCAAAGGAUCAUAGGAUCGCACGACAAUAUUGGGCUCUCCAUUGCUCUUAAUAAUGGCAACGCUUAUAAAGAAUUUUCUUUGGGGAAUUUAUUGAAUUAUCUUUCCAUCAACAUGGAGAAGGGCUUUGUCCAGCCCGUGUUAACAUGUAAUAGUCGUAUCUCUUAUGCCAGGAAGAACUUUAGGAAAGAUAGUGAGCCAAACCAUCUUGAGGACAACAAGAUGACCCCAAGGUCCUGUCUUGAUUAA